rnacentral:snRNA from 1 species
GUUAUUAUCUACCCCACCACCACCAAGAACAUCAACUAAAAUUGGAGUGAUACAGAGAAGAUUGGCAUGGCCCUUGCACAAAGGUGACAUGCAGAUUCAUGAAGCAUUACAUAUUUUA